UUGGAGAAUAGAACUCACUUGCUCAGUUAGGAAGACCUUUUUGGGCACAUGUGUCCUAGAUUUUCGCUUUUGUGUACAAAGGUCUUUGAGAAAUUUGGCAUAGGAGGGAACUUGUCUAAUAGCAUCAAGAAGCGGAAGGAUGAUUUUCACUUGUUUGAAAACCUCCAUCAUUUCCUCUAGUGAAGUUCCUUUUUUGCCAAAGGGAGAGGGUGAAUUAAGAGCUUCAGAAAAUGGGGCCUUUGGGAUAUGAGUU
rnacentral:lncRNA from 1 species